UUACUUAACUCCAGAAUUCUCCAAUCCCAGUUGACAGGGAGAACCCGCCAGCACCUCAGCAUAAACCCUGUAGGCCCAGCAGCGCACGCGCGCUGGAGGCCCGCGCUCUCGGGGACGCGCACGCCCGCGGCCGCUUGCGUCACAACCCCGGUGCCUGCCCCGCCUGUCCAGCUUGCCUGCCCGUCGGUCCCCGCGGCGGCGCCGGCGACGGCGAUCCAGUCACUGUGGCGGCGCCUGGCCGGCCGUGGUGGCGUAGGGUUGCGCGGCCUGGAACGCGGACCCGGCCAAAUAGAGGCUUAACGCGAGGAAGGCCACAUCAGGGCCGCGUGUGAGGAGACCUCGCGGCCGCCGAGCGGGAGGUCGGCGUAAAGGAGCGCGGAGCCUGUGGCCGCCGGCGGCCCAGAACCACCGGUCCCUGCGGCUGCUGCCGGCAUGAGCCAUAUCCAGAUCCCGCCAGGGCUCACAGAGCUGCUGCAGGGCUACACCGUGGAGGUGCUUCGGCAACAGCCGCCUGACCUCGUAGACUUCGCUGUAGACUACUUUACCCGUCUGCGCGACGCCCGCGCGGAAGCCUCAGUCCUCCCUGCCGCCUCUUUGAGCUACCACACACAAGAGUCCGGCCCGGACCGGGUCGCCGACGCGGACAGCGAGUCGGAGGAAUCGGACCUGGAAGUUCCAGUUCCUAACAGAUUUAAUAGGCGAGUAUCAGUCUGUGCUGAGACUUACAACCCUGAUGAGGAAGAGGAAGAUACUGAUCCAAGGGUGAUUUAUCCUAAAACUGAUGAACAGAGAUGCAGACUUCAGGAAGCUUGCAAAGAUAUUCUUCUUUUCAAAAAUCUUGAUCAGGAACAGCUUUCUCAAGUCCUCGAUGCCAUGUUUGAAAGGAUAGUCAAAGUUGAUGAGCAUGUCAUUGACCAAGGAGAUGAUGGAGACAACUUUUAUGUCAUAGAACGGGGAACCUAUGAUAUUUUAGUAACAAAAGAUAAUCAAACCCGUUGUGUUGGUCAGUAUGACAACCGGGGCAGUUUUGGAGAACUAGCUCUGAUGUACAACACCCCAAGAGCUGCUACCAUUGUUGCCACUUCAGAAGGCUCUCUUUGGGGACUGGACCGGUUGACUUUUAGAAGAAUCAUAGUGAAAAACAACGCAAAAAAGAGGAAGAUGUUUGAAUCAUUUAUUGAGUCUGUGCCCCUUCUUAAAUCUCUAGAGGUAUCAGAACGAAUGAAAAUUGUGGAUGUAAUAGGAGAGAAGAUUUAUAAGGAUGGAGAGCGCAUAAUCACUCAGGGUGAAAAGGCUGAUAGCUUUUACAUCAUAGAGUCUGGUGAAGUGAGCAUUUUGCUUAAAAGCAAGACUAAAACAAACAAGGACGGUGGGAACCUAGAAGUUGAGAUUGCCCGCUGUCAUAAGGGGCAGUACUUUGGAGAGCUUGCACUGGUCACAAACAAACCCAGAGCUGCUUCUGCUUAUGCGGUUGGAGAUGUCAAAUGCUUAGUUAUGGAUGUACAAGCAUUCGAAAGGCUUCUGGGGCCCUGCAUGGACAUCAUGAAGAGGAAUAUCUCACACUAUGAGGAACAGUUGGUGAAGAUGUUUGGCUCCAGCAUGGAUCUGAUUGACCCUGGGCAGUAGGUGUGCCACACCCUAGAGCCUUCUCAGUGUGACACCAAAACAUCCGUCAGCCACAGAACAUAUACAGAAAACAGACAUGACAGAACCAUUCCUGAUGUUGCCACCACCACUACUAUUGCUGUGGUUAUGGGCAUUUAGAAAACUAGAAAGUCAGCAUUAAGGAUGGACAGAGGUUCAACCCACACCUCCACUUUGCUUCUGAAAGCCCAUUAUUAGACUACUUGUAAUGAUUCCUCCAACCCAGUUUUCACAUCUUUGGUUCAGAAUGGCAUGUCUCUCCAACAAUUUAAGUGCCUGAUACAAAGUCCAAAGUAUAAACAUCCUUCUUUCCUCUUCUGCUGCUACUGUUGCUUCUGUAUGUUACCAUAAAGUCUGCAGAAAUCUGUUGUAUGACUGUAGACACCUCUUCCAGUCUUUCUCUAAGGAAGGAAUGUUAUAGCCUUCAAUCUCCUCAUUUGUCCUUUGAGAAAGUCUAUAAUUUUCCCAAUUUCAGCCUUUGGUUUUACAGUGGAAAAUGGAGGCAGAUGAGAUGGGCCUCUGUGGUCCAGUGGCAUUGUAUUGUCUACUGAAAGCUGCACCCAUUAUAGCUGUCUCCACGCUCACAGUGAUGCUUAGUAAAAAACCCUCCCUGCCCAGGACCCAGUAAGUCAGUGCCCCAACAGACCGUUAGGUCAGUGGGACCCAUAUUAGAGCAGAAAAUUUGGGUUCGGUACAUAUUAUCUGUAGUAGAAAUCCAGGAAAGGUUUUCUGGGUUGGAGGUUUUGUUUUUUAAUUUGUUUUGGUAGGUUUGGGUGUGUUUAACCUCUGUGCAGUUUGUAUGAUUGCUAUCCAUUUAGAAGGAGCCAGAGUGAGGAAGGUUGUCAUCACUUGAUCUGAUGCAAAUACUUCCCUGGGCAACUCCUGCCAUUUGUUUCCAGUUGCCCCCACCUGCUAAUGGCAGUGUGCUGGCAAGAGCUUAUACCACAAAGAGAGCCCUUUCCUUCCACUCCAGAGUUGUUGCAUAGCUUUGCCAUUGAAUCCAUCAAUAUUUAAACUCUAAAGAAAGAGGGCGGCGCCUGUGGCUCAGUGAGUAGGGCGCCAGCCCCAUAUGGCGAGGGUGGCGGGUUCAAACCUAGCCCCGGCCAAACUGCAACCAAAAAAUAGCCGGGCCUUGUGGCGGGUGCCUGUAGUCCCAGCUGCUAGGGAGGCUGAGGCAAGAGAAUCGCGUAAGCCCAAGAGUUAGAGGUUGCUGUGAGCCGUGUGACGCCACGGCACUCUACCCGAGGGCGGUACAGUGAGACUGUCUCUACAAAAAAAAAAAAAAAAAAAGAUAAUGGAACACUUUGGGCGGCGCCUGUGGCUCAGCAGGUAAGGCGCCGGUCCCAUAUGCCGGAGGUGGCGGGUUCAAACCCAGCCCCGGCCAAAUUAAAAAAAAAAAAAAAAAAAGAUAAUGGAAGAAAGAAGCAUAGCCGGGCAUUGUGGCGGGUGCCUGUAGUCCCAGUUACUUGGGAAGCUGAGGCAAGAGGCUCACUAAGCCCAAGAGUUUGAGGUUGCUGCAAGCUGUGACACCACAGCACUCUACCAAGGGCGACAUAGACUCUGUCUCAAAAAUAAAAAAGAAGCUAUUUUUUUUUAAUUAGAGAAAUUUUUUUAUUUCUCUCUUUAGGGAAUUCCACUUGGACAUAUUCAUAUUUAGGGAGCCUGUUAUCUAACUCAGGCAUUCAUCCUACAGAUCAACAACUCUGUUUUCAAAAAUUGGCAUCAUUUACAAUUUUAUAGAAUUACUGUGAAUGCCUUUCUAGUUAAGAUGUUGAGAUAUUUGGGGUUCCAAUUGUUAAUCCCAGAAGAAGGUAAUUUAGUUUGUAUUUAAAACUUUUUUAACCUUUUAUUUAUAUCAGAUAGAAUUCUGAUGAAUUUUCCUAAUAAGAUAUGUUUCAUAUGAAAUUUUUUUUUCCUGGAGAAUGACUUAGAAUCUGAUGCUGUAAGGGCUACUAGGAAGCAGUGUGGAAUUUGCAUAAAGUUUCGUGGCCAAGUUUAUGUUAAAUUUAGAGGACCUUUCUAGUAUGCUUUUUUCUUUAUUUUUAAUUGAUAUAACUCAAUGAAUCCCUAAGAGAUUCUAUGCUGGGGUUUGAGUCAUUCCUGUUAUUGAUAAUGAUGGAGCCCAUACAGUUACCUUCCACUGUCAACAUAAGCUAGGCUCUCUGCUUUUGCCAUGGACAGUGUAGCUUAGAGAUUCCCAAAGUGGAUAACCCAUCAGAACCUUAAUAAUUAUUCCUUUUUGUCUUAUGUUCCAGGAAGUGACAGCAAAAGGACUCUUUUGAGACAGCCCUAGAUAGCCUGCAUUGCAACUUGCAGAAUUAAGAAAGUUUAUACCUAAUAUCCCAAAACAAGCAGCUAGCACUGGUAAAGCCCUUGUGGUACAUGUGGUGAUCACAUGUUUUUCUUUUCUUUUCUUUUCUUUCCUUUCUUUUUUUUUUGAGACAGAGUCUCACUUUGUCACCCUUGGUAGAGUGCUAUGGUGUCAUAGCUCACAGCAACUUCAAACUCCUGGGCUUAAGCAAUUCUCUUGCCUUGGCCUCUGAAGUAGCUGGGACUACAGGCACCCACCACAAUGCCCUGCUAUUUUUAGAGAUGAGGUCUCGCUGUAGCUUAGGCUGGUCUCAAACCUGUGAGUUCAGGCAAUCCACCCACCUUAGCCUCCCAAAUGCUGGGAUUACAGGCAUGAGCCAUGGCAACCGGCCUCUUUUUUUUUUUUUUUUUUUUUUUCUUUUCUUCCUUUUUCCUUCUUUCUCUUUUUUCUUGUCUUUUUUUUUUCUCUUUUUUCUUUUCUUUAUUUUAAAGACAGAGUCUUACUCUAUCACACUUGGUAGAAUACAGUGGUGUUAUCAUAGCUCACUGCAACCUCAAACUCCUGGACUUAAGUAAUCCUCCUGCCUCAGCCUCCCAAGUAGCUGGGACUACAGGCUCACGCCACCACACUCAGCUAAUUUUUCUUUUUUUUUGGUAAAGAUAGGGUCUUAGUCUUAGCGUGGUCUCAAACUCUUGCAGUCCUCCCAUCUUCACCUCACAGAGUGCUAGGAUUAUAGGCACUGUGCCUGGCCCCACAUUUUCUUGAGGUUCUUCUUUUCUAUGGUGUUGCUUUAUUCAGUAAAUUCAGAAAGCAGUUUUUGCAUUUUAACAGACAAGAACUGUACCCGUUUCUUGGAAAGGUACAUUGGGCUUCAGGAGUGACAUAAAGGUCUAGCUCCAGCCCUCAUGAGAACUUUGAACACUGAAGGAUGCCUCCUUCCCCUCCCCAUGCCAGCAUUAUUUAGGGUUGGCUGUGAAUUCUGUGCCAGAGUCACUCCUGCACACUGCUAGGGAUAGGCCUUCUCAGACUGCCCUCACACAUCCCAGUCUAGUCUUUCCCUUCACAGAGACCUCCUUGACACCCCUGACUCACUAAUGGUUACUGUUUUACAGAACAGCAUUGAUCAGGUUUAAGUCCUCCUGCUCUAACUACUGGUUGACAUAUGAAUCAUCAGUCCAGACCCUCACUGCAUAUAGGGCCUCUGAGAACAUUUAAUUGAGGAAAGGAGACUUUAAAGAGACCAGUAUGUAUGAAAUAGGACAUAGCCGUUACCACAGUGCCAGGACAUGGCAGUAUUCCAAUUGUUCUUGCAGAGUGGCAAAUCAAAGGUGACAAACCAAGUUUGACUCAGGGCUGUGGUGUCCACGUUGCCCACAUCAGGAAAGCCCUGCACUGAUAGUUGAGCCUAGUAGGGAGGAGAGUGUUUGGGGAAGAGAUCCCUCUGUUAACUGUUUCAUGUUGUUCUUUUCUAUGGAUUAGAACUUCAUGUCCUCUUUUGUGGCUUUGCUGUUGAUUUUAUAGAGUAGAGAAUAUUCCUGAGAGCCUUGAAGUCCAGUCUGCAAUAUUGUCCUUCCUUUUGGUCCCCAGCUUAUCUUACCCUCUAUUCUCUUGGUUGAAUUCUCUGAAGGAAGGAUUGCGUGGACUUUUGUCCUCUUAGUCAAAAGUUUUCACAUAUAAUUGUGUUGUAUUACUGUAGAUUCUCAGAAAUCAGAGUAGAGCUUUACUUUGAGCAAUUGAAUGAGUGAAUUCAGCAGCAAAGUGGAACAAAUGGUUCUCCAGCCAGAAGAAGUUAUGUUCAUCCUCUGACUGCUUGGAUUCUCUGCUCACAAUGGUGGAGUAGUCAGUGAGAGGUGCCACUGGCACUUACAGCACCCUGAGCGCACAGUCAUGUUGUGUCAUAUACAAACAAUCCUCUCUCAUUUAGAAAAAGUGAAAGAAUAUUUUGCACAAAGAAAAAGGAAAAAGACACAUGAAUGUCGUAUCUUUUGUUUUCAGUUGGCUGAUAAUGGAAUUUUUGUUCCUGACAUGCUCUUGUAAACCAAUCUUGCCAAGAUACAAAUUGUUUUGGUUUUUCACUACGAUUACCUCUUGUUCCUCUUGUCUUGACUGCUGAUGUUCCUCUAUGAUUCUAACGUCUAUUUUAUGGGAAGCAGUCUUCCCAUGGGUUUCCUUUUACAUACUGCAGGGCUAUCUUUCUACUUUAAAAAAGAAAACACAGGACGAAAACUGUCACUAACCUCAUGGGGUAUUUACAUAAAAUCAUUUAGCCCACCUUGAGCAAAUAAUAGAUUCCUUAUUGUUUUUUUAAGCUCACUGUAAUAAAAAGAACUCUAAUUCAGCAUUAUUGUGCUACCUCAAAGGUAAAAAUGUUUUUAGGUCUUCGUUUGUUCCUGAGUUCUACACAUGGCGUUUAAAGUGUCUCUCAAUUGGAAUUGUUUUUUUUUAAAUCAUUGGGGUAAAUCUUACUUUAAUUGUUUUACACUUGUAUUUUAAUCUUAGAAGAAUAAGUGAUUGGAAAGUGAUCAAUUCUUGCUCUGUGGUUUUGAACAUAUAAUUAAAGUCAUUAAGAAUUAAAUCAUUGUUUGCCAUAAACAAAGUUGGGUUUUUUAAAAGGAAACUCUAGGGCUUGGCUUCACUCUUGAUUAAUAAAGGCUGACAAAUCACUUUCUGGUACAGUCAUAUCUUUGCCCUGUCAUUUCAGGGCUCCAGGCCAUCAUAGCACUCAUCUGGCAGAUACACUAUUGGGAUUCAGGUAUGAACCUUUGAAAAUCCGUUUGACACAUUUUCAUCACACUGGUUGACAUAGCCUUCAUGAAGCAAGUGUGUGAUGCCCCAUGAUCAUAUCAAUGUACACAGCUAUGAUUUAAUAAAAAAAUAAAUAAAUAAAUAAAUAAAAGAAAA